rnacentral:rRNA from 1 species
AUACGGAGGGUGCAAGCGUUAAUCGGAAUUACUGGGCGUAAAGCGCGCGUAGGCGGAUAUUUAAGUCUCAUGUGAAAGCCCUGGGCUCAACCUGGGAACUGCAUGGGAUACUGGGUAUCUAGAAUACAGUAGAGGGUAGUGGAAUUUCAGGUGUAGCGGUGAAAUGCGUAGAGAUCUGAAGGAACAUCAGUGGCGAAGGCGACUACCUGGACUGAUAUUGACGCUGAGGUGCGAAAGCGUGGGGAGCAAACAGGAUUAGAUACCCCAGUAGUCC